GGUAUGCUCCUUCAAAACUGAACAGCGAACGGGCGUUAACCAGCCAAAGCUCCGUAGAAAGGAGGUGAUCCAUCCGCACCUUCCGGUACGGAUACCUUGUUACGACUUGCAGGAGGAUAGGGCGAGCGGCCUGCUGGAUGGCCGUCCAAGCAGCAAGCCUGGUGUGUAGGCAAAUCCGCACACCGUCAAGGGCAAGCUGUGAUGGCGAGGGAAAUGCAAGUACCGAAGUCCCUGAUUUCACACUGCCAAGAAAAGCGUCUAGCGAGGAAUGAGGUGCCCGUACCGCAAACCGAC
rnacentral:rRNA from 1 species